rnacentral:rRNA from 1 species
AACGAACGCUGGCGGCGGGGCUUAGGCAUGCAAGUCGAGCGGGAAAGUCUUCGGACGAGUACAGCGGCGUAAGGGUGAGUAAUAGGUAGUUCACGUGCCCUCGUGACGCGAAUAAUUUCCCGAAAGGGAUUGUAAUGCGCGAUGAGACCACAGUUCUUACGGGAACAGAGGUCAAAAGUCGGGGAUCCUUCGGGACCCGGCGCAUGAGGAGCGGACGACCUCCGAUUAGCUAGAUGGCGGGGUAACGGCCCACCAUGGCGAUGAUCGGUAGCCGGCCUGAGAGGGUGUACGGCCACACUGGGACUGAGACACUGCCCAGACUCCUACGGGAGGCUGCAGUCGCGAAUCAUUCACAAUGGACGCAAGUCUGAUGAUGCCACGCCGCGUGCGGGAUGAAGGCCCUUUGGGUUGUAAACCGCUGUACAAGGGAAGGGAACCGCUGAACGUUAAUAGCGUUCAGUCUGACUGUCUUUACUAAAGGAACGCCCCGG